rnacentral:tRNA from 1 species
GUGGUUAUAGCUCAGUGGUAGAACACAUGUCUGGCAUGCAUGAAGUGUUGGGUUCAACCCCCAGUGCCUCCA